rnacentral:lncRNA from 1 species
AUAUAUGUAUAUAUAUAUGAUUACAUAUGAUCUUAAAAACAAUAUGUAUGGUCUUGUUCUAAAAACAAUAUAUGGUCUUAAAACCAAAAAUAUUGAAGAUUUGUCUGUCUGUUAUGUUCUACGUGGGGGAAAUUCCCAUUAUAUUCUUCCAACAUCAUAUAUAUAUUUUCCAGUUGUAGUGUAGUUCUUUUUUUGCACAAAAAAAAAGUUUAGUUCUUUUUCUUAGGUAAACAUGUCGAUCAUUAUAUGACCAUAUGAGUGUAGUAAAAGGGUUAGCCAUUUAGGUGGCGAGGUCGCACACAUUUCAUAUCAGAGUGUAUCAGUAGAGAUAUAUACAUAUCAGAGUGUUCUUAGUUAAUAUAAUUAUAUUAUGCUUUUUGACUUCCAAUUAUUAUAAUAUAUUUAACUAUAUAGUUUGAUUUUCGCCGUAAGAUUCUUUGCCGGAACCUUCCAAUUAUGCAUAUCACAGCCACAUGAUACAAUUAUACAUCCCACAAUAAAAGCGCAGCCCUCUUGUAUUUAAAUAUUCUCAUACCACCAACACAAAAUAAAGUAUACA